rnacentral:rRNA from 1 species
AAGUCGUAACAAGGUCUCCGUAGGUGAACCUGCGGAGGGAUCAUUACAAGUGACCCCGGUCUAACCACCGGGAUGUUCAUAACCCUUUGUUGUCCGACUCUGUUGCCUCCGGGGCGACCCUGCCUUCGGGCGGGGGCUCCGGGUGGACACUUCAAACUCUUGCGUAACUUUGCAGUCUGAGUAAACUUAAUUAAUAAAUUAAAACUUUUAACAACGGAUCUCUUGGUUCUGGCAUCGAUGAAGAACGCAGCGAAAUGCGAUAAGUAAUGUGAAUUGCAGAAUUCAGUGAAUCAUCGAAUCUUUGAACGCACAUUGCGCCCGCCAGUAUUCUGGCGGGCAUGCCUGUUCGAGCGUCAUUUCAACCCUCAAGCUCUGCUUGGUGUUGGGGAUCGGCGUAGUGUCCUUCGGGGCGCUGCCGUCCCCUAAAUCUAGUGGCGGUCCUGCCGUAGAUACCUCUGCGUAGUAGUUUUCUCCUCGCUCUGGAAUCUCGGCGGUGCCUUGCCGUUAAACCCCCAACUUCUGAAAGGUUGACCUCGAAUCAGGUAGGAAUACCCGCUGAACUUAA